AUUGAACGCUGGCGGCAGGCCUAACACAUGCAAGUCGAACGGUAACAGGAAGCAGCUUGCUGCUUUGCUGACGAGUGGCGGACGGGUGAGUAAUGUCUGGGAAACUGCCCGAUGGAGGGGGAUAACUACUGGAAACGGUAGCUAAUACCGCAUAACGUCGCAAGACCAAAGAGGGGGACCUUAGGGCCUCUUGCCAUCGGAUGUGCCCAGAUGGGAUUCGCUAGUAGGUGGGGUAACGGCUCACCUAGUCGACGAUCCCUAGCUGGUCUGAGAGGAUGACCAGCCACACUGGAACUGAGACACGGUCCAGACUCCUACGGGAGGCAGCAGUGGGGAAUAUUGCACAAUGGGCGCAAGCCUGAUGCAGCCAUGCCGCGUGUAUGAAGAAGGCCUUCGGGUUGUAAAGUACUUUCAGCGGGGAGGAAGGGAGUAAAGUUAAUACCUUGGCUGAUUGACGUUACCCGCAGAAGAAGCACCGGCUAACUCCGUG
rnacentral:rRNA from 1 species